AUGAGGAGCCGCCGCCUCCGCCGCCGCCGGGCCCUCCAGGACGCCGCCGGGCCCUCCAGGACGCCGCCGCCGGGCCCUCCAGGACGCCGCCGCAGGGCUCUCCAGGACGCCGCCGCCGCCGCCGGGCCCUCCAGGACGCCGCCGCCGCCGCCGGGCCCUCCAGGACGCCGCCGCCGGGCCCUCCAGGACGCCGCCGCAGGGCUCUCCAGGACGCCGCCGCCGCCGCCGGGCCCUCCAGGACGCCGCCGCAGGGCUCUCCAGGACGCCCCCGCCGCCGCCGGGCCCUCCAGGACGCCGCCAGGUGGACGCCGCCGGGCCCUCCAGGACGCCGCCGCCGGGCCCUCCAGGACGCCGCCGCCGGGCCCUCCAGGACGCCGCCAGGUGGACGCCGCCAGGUGGACGCCGCCCCCGGGCCCUCCAGGACGCCGCCAGGUGGACGCCGCCGCCGGGCCCUCCAGGACGCCGCCAGGUGGACGCCGCCGCCGGGCCCUCCAGGACGCCGCCAGGUGGACGCCGCCGCCGGGCCCUCCAGGACGCCGCCAGGUGGACGCCGCCGCCGGGCCCUCCAGGACGCCGCCGCCGCCGGGCCCUCCAGGACGCCGCCGCCGCCGGGCCCUCCAGGACGCCGCCGCCGCCGGGCCCUCCAGGACGCCGCCAGGUGGAUGCCGCCGCCGCCGCCGGGCCCUCCAGGACGCCGCCGCCGCCGGGCCCUCCAGGACGCCGCCGCCGCCGCCGCCGCCGCCGGGCCCUCCAGGACGGCGCCGCCGCCGCCGCCGGGCCCUCCAGGACGGCGCCGCCGCCGCCGCCGGGCCCUCCAGGACGGCGCCGCCGCCGCCGCCGGGCCCUCCAGGACGCCGCCGCCGCCGCCGCCGCCGGGCCCUCCAGGACGCCGCCGCCGCCGCCGCCGCCGGGCCCUCCAGGACGCCGCCGCCGCCGCCGCCGGGCCCUCCAGGACGCCGCCGCCGCCGCCGCCGCCGGGCCCUCCAGGACGCCGCCGCCGCCGCCGCCGCCGGGCCCUCCAGGACGCCGCCGCCGCCGCCGCCGGGCCCUCCAGGACGCCGCCGCCGCCGCCGCCGGGCCCUCCAGGACGCCGCCGCCGCCGCCGCCGCCGCCGGGCCCUCCAGGACGCCGCCGCCGCCGCCGCCGCCGGGCCCUCCAGGACGCCGCCGCCGCCGGGCCCUCCAGGACGCCGCCGCCGCCGCCGCCGCCGCCGGGCCCUCCAGGACGCCGCCGCCGCCGCCGCCGCCGCCGGGCCCUCCAGGACGCCGCCGCCGCCGGGCCCUCCAGGACGCCGCCGCCGCCGCCGCCGGGCCCUCCAGGACGCCGCCGCCGCCGCCGCCGGGCCCUCCAGGACGCCGCCAGGUGGACGCCGGGCCCUCCAGGACGCCGCCGCCGCCGGGACCUCCAGGUUGGUCCCAACCACCGCCUCCAGGCCCUCCAGGUUGGUCUCCACCACCGCCUCCAGGCCCUCCAGGUUGGUCUCCACCACCGCCUCCAGGCCCUCCAGGUUGGUCUCCACCACCGCCUCCAGGCCGGUCCCCACCACCGCCUCCAGGCCCUCCAGGUUGGUCUCCACCACCGCCUCCAGGCCCUCCACCACCGCCUCCAGGCCCUCCAGGUUGGUCUCCACCACCGCCGCCUCCAGGCCCACCGACUCCAGGACCUCCAGGUUGGCCUCCACCUCCAGGCCCGCCGUUGCCUCCAGGACCUCAGCCGUCUCCAGGCCUUCCAGGUUGGCCGCCUCCAGGCCCUUCUGAAAUGUGA
rnacentral:lncRNA from 1 species